UCUUUUAAAACUAGUUUCUUAAGCAUAUAUUAUAAUAAAAUAUCAUUUUUAUUUUUAAUAUAAUUAAGAUUGUGAUUUUUUUUUGCCUUUUGGAUUCCCUAUCGUUUACCUGCGUCCGCAGAUGAAAGAAAAUGAAACCCGUUAAUUCCCACUACUUCCUCCAUCCUCCCCAGUCCCACACACUCUUCAUCUCUCCGAUUCCUAUAUUGCAUCUCUUUUGAAUUUUCUCUGCUAAGGAUCAGAGCAGAGAAAGUCAAUAAUCGGAUGCAUCAUUAGCGUGAUUUUUGAAAAGGAUGAACACAAAAUUUUAACUGGUAUUGAAAUGGAAUAGGAGGCGCCGACGAAAAAACAAAGCUAGGUUUGAAGGAUAUUUACAUAGAACAACCCUUCAUCUCUCCGAUUCCUCAACAUUCAGCAACCCUAAAUCCUUAUUUCAUUCUUCGCACUCUUGCAAGUGAUUGUUGGUGCUGAUAAAAGGAACCCUACAUUGGUAAUUCAUGAUCCCCUUGGUGUUUCUAGAGGCGGUGAGCAGUCACUGCAGGAGAAGCUAUUAAAAUAGAUCAAGGAAUCUCGAUCAGGUGCGUUUAAAGAAGCAAAUACAACAAUGCAACAAGCUCGUGGUGAGUACUAGUCUCGACGAUCCACUCUUGCAGCACCCAAGACCAAAAAAUACGACCAACACUUUUAAUAUAUAGGUGCAUACGGUUUUAAUUCUGCUCCAGUCUAGUUUAUUCUAUUAUCUGUAAGUCUGUAACUGGCUAUCUGGUAUUAUACCCUCUUAACAUCUUUCACACAGAAACAAGUAAAGGCCUCCUGUUAAUAGGCUGUUGUACUCCCGGAAAUAAUAGGACGAUCUUACUCAUCUUGCAUAAUAGGGAGUUAAAUCCUCGUUUACAACUUUGUUUGUGUCUGGUCUAGUGAGUGUAUCUAAAUAUAUACUUGGUAUAAUAUGAUAUAUGUUUCAGAAAAUCGAAUUUGUAAGCUUCCUCAAAGUGUAAUACAUGGGAUCAUGGAACGCUUACCGUUGAAAGAUGGUGCAAGGAUGGGGUUAGAGGUUUAA